rnacentral:misc_RNA from 1 species
GUGUGAUGAGCCUAAGGGCUUGAAAACUGGAAUGUGCAUGUCACUUCUUUAUCUUCCAUUUGCAAUUGCGAACGCACUGAUGGCAAGACUUGGUGGAGGGGUUCCUGUGUUUGGUGAGAGAGUGGUUCUGGUUGGUUACUUCAUCUACACAGGUGCUCUGUAUUUUCACUUUGCCACAUCAGUUGUUCAAGAAAUGAAAAGUUCUUUGGGAAUCCACUGCUUCAGGAUAAUGAAGAAAGAAGGUUGAAAUCUGCUGGUUUUCCGUAUCGAGUAUCGGCUCCAAUUCGAAGGAAUGAUGUUUUCGGCUAUUUCAGAACCUCAGUUACGUUCAUGUAGAUAGUACAUCG